CUCUCAGUCUGGCUCAGAUAGCCCCAAGAAAAAGCAGCAAAGUGAGUCAAAAUCCCCUACCAAGUCACAUAAAGCCAUUUCCAGUGUUUGUGAGGAGAGCAAUGAAGACCUGCUAUAUAUACCAUCUUUCUUAAGAGGAUCAAAGCACAAUAGUGUAUUCAGGACUGUUGGCUGGCCUGGAGGCCAUAAGGCAGUGGUUUUAAGGACCAGUCACGAGAAGGAAGAUGACAGCAAAGCAGAGAAACCAGAAAAGCAGGUAAACUUCAAGUAAACCUCUAGGCCUUUUCCAUGAU
ensembl:lncRNA